rnacentral:tRNA from 1 species
GCCUGGGUAGCUCAGUGGUAGAGCAGAGGCCUGAAGAGCCUUGUGUCGUCAGUUCGAUUCUGACUCCAGGCA